rnacentral:rRNA from 1 species
GACGAACGCUGGCGGCGUGCCUAAUACAUGCAAGUCGAGCGCAGGAAAUCGACGGAACCCUUCGGGGGGAAGUCGAUGGAAUGAGCGGCGGACGGGUGAGUAACACGUAAGGGACCUGCCCUCAGGUCUGGGAUAACCACGAGAAAUCGGGGCUAAUACCGGAUGGGUCAUCGGACCGCAUGGUCCGAGGAUGAAAGGCGCUUCGGCGUCGCCUGGGGAUGGCUUUGCGGUGCAUUAGCUAGUAGGUGGGGUAAUGGCCCACCAAGGCGACGAUGCAUAGCCGACCUGAGAGGGUGAUCGGCCACACUGGGACUGAGACACGGCCCAGACUCCUACGGGAGGCAGCAGUAGGGAAUCUUCCACAAUGGACGAAAGUCUGAUGGAGCAACGCCGCGUGAACGAUGAAGGCCUUCGGGUCGUAAAGUUCUGUUGUAAGGGAAGAACAAGUGCCGCAGGCAAUGGCGGCAUCUUGACGGUACCUUGCGAGAAAGCCACGGCUAACUACGUGCCAGCAGCCGCGGUAAAAC